rnacentral:lncRNA from 1 species
AAGAUUCGAUCUUUCUUCCUUGUUUCGUUUUCUUCUUGUUCUUGAGCUUCGUCUCUGAAUCAAAGACUUGUUUGUAAUCGAGAGAGAAGAAGAAGAAGAAGAAGGGUGGGGGUGUGGCUUCUGUGCUCUGGUUUCUUUCCUCUUUGUGUUGUUGUUCCUUUGGGAGAUUGUCUUUGCUUUUUAUUUUCUUCUCUAAGGUUUUUUUUUUUGGUUUUUGGAUUUUGGUUUGUAAUCCUUUCUUUGAUUGUUAAUGAGAAACCCUCCCGAAAAGGGUAGAGCCAAAGCUAUAUAGGAGAGUGGCAAAGGGGUAUUUAUAUACCAUUGUUGGAAGAGAGAGAUGGUGAGGUGGGAGAACGUGGCAAAAGUUAGAAUCCUGAGUGAAAGUAGAUUAUUCCGA